CUGGUUGCGGGUAAAAGCUCGUAGUGGAUUCUGUCGAAACAUCCGGUCCGCACUUUGUGCGUGUAUCUGGUAUGGUUUUGGCAUCCUCGUGAGGAACUCGCGCUUUAUUGCGUGUGGGAGUCACGACUUUUACUUUGAGGAAUAGAGUGUUCACGGCAGGCUUUCGCCUUGAAUACAUUAGCAUGGAAAAUAAUAUAGGACUUGGUUUAUUUUUGUUGGUUUCUAGAACUAAGGUAAUGAUAAUAGGGAUAAUUGGGGGCAUUCGUAUUAACGCGUCAAAGGGGGAUUCUUGGAUUGCGUUACGACGAACUACUGCGAAAGCUUUUGCAAGGAAG
rnacentral:rRNA from 1 species